rnacentral:rRNA from 1 species
CCUACGGGUGGCAGCAGUGGGGAAUAUUGCGCAAUGGGGGCAACCCUGACGCAGCAACGCCGCGUGAUUGAAGAAGGCCUUCGGGUCGUAAAGAUCUUUAAUCGGGGACGAAUUUUGACGAUACCCGAAGAAUAAGCUCUGGCUAACUACGUGCCAGCAGCCGCGGUAAAUCGUAGGGAGCAAGCGUUAGACGGAUUUAGUGGGUGUAAAUGGCAGGGAGGCGGGGAUGGAAACCAGGAGUGAAAUCUGGGGGGUUCAACCCCAGACUGCUUUGGGAACUGUGUGUCUUUAGUGAUGGAGAGGCCAGGGGAAUUCCCUGUGUAGCGGUGAAAUGCGUAGAUAUUGGGAGGAACACCAGUGGCGAAGGCGGCCUUCUGGACAGUAACUGACGCUGAGGCGCGAAAGCGUGGGGAGCAAACAGGAUUAGAUACCCCAGUAGUC